rnacentral:tRNA from 1 species
AGGCUCGUGGUGUUAAUGGUUGGCACGUUCGCCUGAUAAGCGAGAGGUUUGUGAGUUCGAAUCUCACCGAGCCUACCA